CACAAUAGAGUUGGUAUUUUAUCAAUUGAGAUUAAAGCCUAUUUUUCAAUACAUUCGAGUGUUAUGUAUAUGCGCAUAUGUUAUUUUAAUAUCAAAAGUAGGUAUAUUGAAUUUUUAUAUUUAUUUUACUUAAAAAUAAAUGUUAUAAUUCUAAAAGUCAUUCUUCAUAUAUUAUACAGUAACAAUCUUUUCUUCCAAUCGUAAGGUCAGUUGUGACCGACUAUAUACUUUAGCAUAGUUUUUCUUUAAUUGCUCCACAUAAACAUAAUCAAUUAGGAAGCUUAUCAAAAGUUGUAAUUAAUGUGGCCUUGACAAUUUGAAAUCAUAAAUCUUAAAUUUGGCAAAAAUUUUUAAAUUGUAUUAUAAUCAAUUUUGGUUUCGCCUUAGGAUUGAAAAAGAUAAAACUAGGUAUAACUGAUUUUCACUACUGAAUAUCACCUCAAUGCUAUCAUUGUAAUUGUUUAAUAGAGGCCCAGUUUAAGUAGCAAUUGAGGAAUCGAAAGUCCUAUUCCGAAUUCUGUUAAUCAAACCAAGCUGAUGUUGACUGAAGUUUCAUUUCAA